GACGUAGGGUCCAAGCGUUGUCCGGAUUUACUGGGCGUAAAGAGCGCGUAGGCGGUCUGUUAAGUGUAGAGUGAAAUCUCCAGGGCUCAACCCGGAAACUGCUCUGCAUACUGGCAGACUGGAGUGAUGCAGAGGUUUGUGGAAUUCCUGGUGUAACGGUGAAAUGUGUUGAUAUCAGGAGGAACGCCCAUGGCGAAGGCAGCAAACUGGGCAAUAACUGACGCUGAGGCGCGAAAGCGUGGGUAGCAAACAGG
rnacentral:rRNA from 1 species